rnacentral:lncRNA from 1 species
GGAAGUCAAGAGACCCGGAUUUGUCAUUAACUUGCUUUAUGUCCUCGGGGAGUCAUUUCACCUAUCUCAGCUUCAGUUUCUUCUUUUCUAAAAUAGGAGAAUUGAACAGGAAGAUCUUGAAAGUCUCUUCUAAUUCUGAAGUUCCAUGGUUCUGUAUUUGUAUAUGCAGUAAAUUAACAUGAUGCUGAUGUUGGGUAAUGGGAAUAAUAUUGGCCUACAUGAGCUGUGGUCACACGGGUCAAGGGAAGGCUGAAGUGGCAAGGGAGAAAGAACCCAUCCUACAGAAACCAAUAGAUCAGGUAAGAGAAAAUGAUGACAAACACGAGAAAUUGAGCCUGAGACACAGACAAGGAGGACUGCCUCUGAGAUUAGGGCAGGCAGGGAAAGCAUCAGGACAGCUAGGCCAGGGGAGAGAAAAUAUGACAAUAUGACUGAGAUAGGAGGCUUAGAAGUUGGAGUCAGGGCCAGCUAAAAGGAUAAAGAUAGAAAAAUGUAGGGCAAGUAGCCGAAUAGUAAGUCAGAGGCAAAUUACAGAGAGAAAGGGCAUUGUAAAAGGAAGAAAACAAAAGAUCCUCAAGCACUGUUUCCUUUGGCCCUGAAAGAAUUUGAUCCUGCUCUCCUUUGGUUCUGAUGUCCACUGCUUUGUCUCUUCAUGCUUCCUCAAAAAAUACCAUUGAAAACAAAAUGUAUGCAUUUGAAUAUAUUCCUUGCUGAACCAAUGUGAAUCUAAUGAGUAACUGUUUAAGUAUAUCUUACAAAAAGAGAAUUUUAGAGGUCAGCAGCAUCUCAUUUUCCCUAUCACCCUGCUAGAUAGAUUGCAGUAAGGCCUAGAAAAUACUCCCAAGAAGAAAAAUGCUAAUUGAUUAAUCAUACUAAUGUCAAUGCUUUCUCUCUGAAGACAGCAAUUUCUGGAAUGAUGUCAGAGAUUUGUGAGUCACAAUCAUAUAUGCGUGCUUCUACGAUAAAUGUGUAUGCAUACACAGAGAAAGUAUGUGGUAUUCCAAUUCCUCUUAUGACCACAAUUUUCUUUUCAAAUCGAUUAAUAAAUGACUCUAAAUCAACUAGAAUUGUUAAGGC